ACCAAAGUUAGAUAAUCGGUUC
rnacentral:siRNA from 1 species